GACGAACGCUGGCGGCGUGCCUAAUACAUGCAAGUUGAGCGCUGAAGGUUGGUACUUGUACCCACUGGAUGAGCAGCGAACGGGUGAGUAACGCGUGGGGAAUCUGCCUUUGAGCGGGGGACAACAUUUGGAAACGAAUGCUAAUACCGCAUAAAAACUUUAAACACAAGUUUUAAGUUUGAAAGAUGCAAUUGCAUCACUCAAAGAUGAUCCCGCGUUGUAUUAGCUAGUUGGUGAGGUAAAGGCUCACCAAGGCGAUGAUACAUAGCCGACCUGAGAGGGUGAUCGGCCACAUUGGGACUGAGACACGGCCCAAACUCCUACGGGAGGCAGCAGUAGGGAAUCUUCGGCAAUGGACGAAAGUCUGAACGAGCAACGCCGCGGGAGUGAAGAAGGUUGUCGGAUCGUAAAACUCUGUUGGUAGAGAAGAACGUUGGUGAGAGUGGAAAGCUCAUAAAGUGACGGUAACUACCCAGAAAGGGACGGCUAACUACGUG
rnacentral:rRNA from 1 species